rnacentral:rRNA from 1 species
CAGCCGCCGCGGUAAUACGAAGGGUGCAAGCGUUACUCGGAAUUACUGGGCGUAAAGCGUGCGUAGGUGGUGGUUUAAGUCCGUUGUGAAAGCCCUGGGCUCAACCUGGGAAUUGCAGUGGAUACUGGAUCACUAGAGUGUGGUAGAGGAUAGUGGAAUUUCCGGUGUAGCAGUGAAAUGCGUAGAGAUCGGAAGGAACGUCUGUGGCGAAGGCGACUAUCUGGGCCAACACUGACACUGAGGCACGAAAGCGUGGGGAGCAAACAGGAUUAGAUACCCCGGUAGUCCCUGUCUCUUAUAC